GUUACAGCCGCCGCGGUAAUACGAAGGGGGCUAGCGUUGUUCGGAAUUACUGGGCGUAAAGCGCACGUAGGCGGACAUUUAAGUCAGGGGUGAAAUCCCAGAGCUCAACUCUGGAACUGCCUUUGAUACUGGGUGUCUAGAGUAUGGAAGAGGUGAGUGGAAUUCCGAGUGUAGAGGUGAAAUUCGUAGAUAUUCGGAGGAACACCAGUGGCGAAGGCGGCUCACUGGUCCAUUACUGACGCUGAGGUGCGAAAGCGUGGGGAGCAAACAGGAUUAGAAACCCGUGUAGUCC
rnacentral:rRNA from 1 species